CUACACCAGUUCUCCAACUCUCUGGAUACCAACCGCGUAUCCCACAAUUCCAUUCUGACACUACCUAGAGUUAGCACAGAACCCACAGGUUAGGGGCUCAGUCCCACAAGACCACCCUCACUUCAGAUGCCAGUUGCAAGUCCUAGGUUGUCACCUGUAUUUUGACCAACCAGUUAGAAAUCAGGGUUUCCCAUGACCCUCUUGUUGAGUUUAAUUAUUUACUAGAACAACUCACAGAACUUAGAAAAACAAGUUUUUUUUCUUUUUUUUUUAAGAGACAGGGCCUCGCUCUGUUGUCCAAGCUGGUGUGCAGUGGUGCAAUCAUAGCUCAUUGAAGCCUCAACGUCCAGGGCUCAAGUGAUUCUCCUGCUUCAGCCUCUCAAGUAGCUGGAAUUACAGGGUUCCCACCACCACAUUUGGCUAAUUUCUUUUAUUUUUUGUAUAGAUGGGGUCUUCUUAUGUUGCCCAGGUUGGUCUCAAAUUCCUAGGCUCAAGUGAUUCCGCCCACCUCUGCCUCCCAAAGUGCUGGGAUUACGGGCAUGAGCCAGCGCAUCUGGCCACCUUAUUUUCUAUUACUGGCUCAAUGUAAUGGCUCCAUCUCAGGAACAGCCAAUGAAAGAGAUGCACAGGACAAGUGCAAGGAUUACAGGUAUGAGCCACCAUGCCUGGCCCCUACCCUGCCUACUGAGAACCAAAGGAAGGAUCCAAAUUCUCCUUAGCUCAACUCGAGCCAUUUCCUGAUUGCUUCAUCAGCGAGGAGCUGGUUAUUGGGCUGUCCAGGCCUCCCAAGCAGCACAGAAAUGAG
rnacentral:lncRNA from 1 species